CUUUUACUCGUUCAGUAUGGACUUUGCACGCCCCUUAAGAAAUAAUAAAUAAAGUGCAUAAUUUACCAUGAUACUCAUAUUAAUUAGUGUAUAGUCUUAGUGAAUUUGGAAAAUGAGUAAUUAAUGCUUGGGGUAAAACAGGAAAAGUAAAUUAUUUUUCCUCGACAUGCGAAAGUGGACAAGUAAAAUUGAAAAUUUAUUUUUGGAAUAGUGGACAAGUAAUAGUGAACGGAGGGAGUAUGUCAUGAUUUUUAUUGAUGUCGUGAUUUUUAUUCAGUACUUAUGUUUUAGUUAAUGAAAUAGCUCUCCAAAUAACAGCUUUAGGAAAGGGCUUUUGAGAGCUUGUUUGUUUGGCUACAUUUCCUAAUGUGACUGGAAUCGACAGUUUUGAUCCAUAUCAAGUUGGGCUUUGCUACUUUUGUUUUAUUCCAUGAUGUCAUUUCAGGUUUUCUGGAUAUUUACUGGCAGCACUAGGAUCUCUGUUGUGGCUACGGAAAAACAAACCCAAGACUUUGAUCCCUAUUAUAUAUGCAUGUGCUGGACUUGUGGCAACAAUUCCAUCCAUUACUAGUUAUCUGAGGGUGGCUUGGGAUGGCACCUUCUAAAAGUAGAAGGCUUCGAACUAUUCACCUCAUCGACAAUUGCUUUAAUCAGUUGGCAGUUUGUUGCAUGCCCAGAGACCGUCUAACUGAGGGAUUUUCUUGUAGUAGAUGAGAUGACAUAAGGUACUACGAGUACGAUCUAUCCGCUUCUGUAACCUUUAUGUAACUGUCAAGGCCAUAUAUCUUCCAAGAUAUUUUGGCAUAGGCGACCAAAAAAAGCUUUUUCCAUCAUUGAUUUCUAUAAUUAUAUUGUUAAUUGGCCUAGUAUCUGGUGUUUUGUGCAUGUGGAUGUACGUGCUAAUCGCAAUCUGUAAUAGUUGAUAUAGUAGCUUUUAGUUUCUGAUUACUGCUCAUUCCAAGAGGCGAUAUAUGAUAUUUGUGGAA